rnacentral:rRNA from 1 species
UACGUAGGGUGCGAGCGUUGUCCGGAAUUAUUGGGCGUAAAGGGCUCGUAGGCGGUUUGUCGCGUCGGGAGUGAAAUCCACUGGCUUAACUGGUGGCUUGCUUUCGAUACGGGCAGACUGGGAGGUAUGCAGGGGAGAACGGAAUUCCUGGUGUAGCGGUGAAAUGCGCAGAUAUCAGGAGGAACACCGAUGGCGAAGGCAGGUCUCUGGGCAUUAACUGACGCUGAGGAGCGAAAGCAUGGGGAGCGAACAGG